UUGAAAGCUGGUAUUAUACACACCUAGGAGGUACAAUACUAAAUCUACAAACUCAUGUAUACAAUAUUUCUUUAAAAUUUUAUAUGAUUCAAUUUAGUCAAAGGAAGAGAGAGGCCAACAAGAUCUGAAACAAAAAAGCUGCAUUUAUUGCUUGCUAAACAAGAAAAAAUUGUACUUGCAAGACAGUCACCCCAAACAACACAGGAAAGGAAAUUAUGUAAGCAUUUGGGAAGUGUGCAGUUCCAUCAUCAAAGUUCUGAAGAGUGUGCAUUGUGACAUAAUGUGUGUUGAAGAUCACCUUGUCCUCGCCAUUAACUCUCCAGUAUCAUCUACUGUGCUGUCGUUCUCUCACAUGGCCUUUGGUCAUUGGUUCAGACAGGCUAAGAAGACAAAUGGAGAUUUGCAGAAGAAAAUGUCAUAUGGGUUAUCCUGGUAGUCUCCAGAGAAUUAACUGAGUCAUCCACAUUAUUUAGCUCCAUCUCCAUCCUUCAUGUGAUAGGAAACAGAGUUUUGAAGUCGAGGACAUAAGGCAGCAUCACCAAAUGCUCUCCAGGAGAGUUGCUACCUCUGCCAAAGGCAAAAAGGAGAUAGGGAAGCUGCCAUAGCAUCUGUUGGUUCCAGGAAGAAACCACCUUGCCUGUGGCCUGGGGAUAGAAGGAUGACACCUCAUCUAGUUACUUUAUGCAUGGCAGUUCUGCACUAGCAAAAACUCAGAGGCCAACCCCCAGACUGGAGCCUGAAAUGUUGCUACAUAAAACCCAGUGUUUCCAUGACCGAGCUUGCCAGCUGCAACAACAAUAUCAGCAGAAAGAUCGCUUCUGAUCAACUUCUCCUUCCAAAUCUCAUCUUCUCAAGCUGAAAACAGCAAUUUGAGUUUCCCGAGUUCUAACCAUGUAAACCAUGCUGGAUUCAAGGUGGAUGGAUUGAUUUUCAUCCUCAUUCAAUGUAA
rnacentral:lncRNA from 1 species